rnacentral:rRNA from 1 species
CAAUAGCGUAUAUUAACGUUGUUGCAGUUAAAAAGCUCGUAGUUGGAUUUCUGGAGGGAGCGUCGGCCCGUAUUUACGAGUGCGUGACGUCUCUGUCCAUCCUGGCGGGAAGGCACGGCAUUGAUUUGUUGUGUCGGAUCGCAUCAUUUACUGUGAAAAAAUUAGAGUGUUCAAAGCAGGCUUUCGCUUGAAUACAUUAGCAUGGAAUAAUAAGAUAGGACUUUGGUGCUAUUUUGUUGGUUGAGCCUAAAGUAAUGAUUAAUAGGGAUAGUUGGGGGCACCUGUAUUGCGUUGUCAGAGGUGAAAUUCUUGGAUUUACGCAAGACAAACAGCUGCGAAAGCGUCUGCCAAGGAUGUUUNCAUUA